rnacentral:SRP_RNA from 17 species
AAGGCAAUGAUGGCUUUCCGAAUCGUGUCAGGUCCGGAAGGAAGCAGCACUAAGGUAGGUUCGUCAUGUGCCUUUUGUU